GCUCUGCUCAAGAAUCGGCUCAUACCGGACGUCACCAACUGAUGCAAAGCCAGUCGAACAGAAACCACAAUCACUGGUAUGGUUUUUAUUGCAGACUCGCUCACAAGCACAAGCUGAUAAGUCUCGAGUCUGCUCGAGAAAGACAGAGGAGGUUUGCUGUUGGGGAGGAGUGUUUGUGCGUGUGCGUCAGUCUGCUGUGGAGCUGCAGGAGCAUGUGGUCGCUGGUGGCCACUCCAGCAUCUGAUUUCUCGCCCCUGUCCACGCUGAUUGUUUAGGGGAUGAUGGACAAGGUGAUUCAGUGUGUGAGUGACGAGAUGAGUUUGACUUAGGCCACGAGGGUCCAGUGUGAGAGCGGAAAUGUCCGGAGCAUCGGAGGAGUCGCUGCUCAACUCGUCCCUCCUCAACUCGUCUUUAGAAUGUGGCCACAACAUGAACAGUUGGGAGCAGCGCAUGGACAAGAUGUACACAUACUUCUACUUUCUGCUCUUCAUGCCCGGGCUGCUGCUUAACACCACGGCCCUCUGGGUCCUCUGCAGACACAUUAGUAAGAAGAGCAAGGCGGUGAUCUUCAUGAUCAACCUGGCUGUAGCCGACCUGGCCCACAUCCUCUCUCUGCCCCUGAGGAUCUAUUAUUACUUCACACACACCUGGCCGUUCGGGCGAGGCGUCUGCUUGUUCUGCUUCUACCUCAAAUACCUCAACAUGUACGCCGCCAUAGUGUUCCUGGUGUGUAUCAGCGCGCAGAGGUGCAUCUUCCUGCUUCACCCAUUCUGCGCACGACGGUGGAGGCGGCGCUACGACCUGGCAAUCAGCAUCAUCGUGUGGGGGGUGGUCAGCGUGGGCUGCUCGCCUUUCAUCCUGAUGCGCAGCAGCAGUUCCACGAGUCCCGGUGUGGUCGGACAGGCGAUCUACAACGCGUCCUAUCACCUGGGUGCCUUCUCCACCCAGCAUCCCUCGGGUCACGUCGAGCUUUACGCGCCAAAUUCGAGUGUGAGCCCCGUCACGGUCUCCCCUCCUGGCUGUUUUAAGGACCUGCCCAUGCGUCGCCUGCCAGUGUCUCUGGCGGUCACCAUGAUGGUCCUGGCUGAGCUGUUUGGUUUCCUCAUCCCUUUGGCCUGCAUCAGUUACAGCUCCAUCCGCAUCGCACGCUCUCUCGGCUCAACUCGGGGGCGGGAUGAGCCCGACCCCUCAACGCGCAGCCGUCUCCAGUCGGUCAGCAGCAGCAGCAGUCCGACGGACAGGUUCCCGGAGAGGCGGACGGACGCCGAGAAGCGACGCGCUCUGCGAAUGGUGCUCAGCUGCUCUGCCCUCUUCCUGAUCUGCUUCGCCCCCUACCACAUCAACUUCCUGCUCUACCUGUUGGUGUCGCAGAACAUCGUGUCCCACUGCGCAACCGAUCUGGCAGUGCGUCGGUUCCACCCGCUGUCCCUGUGCCUGGCCAGCCUGAGCUGCUGCCUCAACCCUCUGCUCUAUUACUUCCUAAAUGCCGAGUUCAGGCUGCACCUCACCAGGCGCACCUCCUCCUUCACCGCGGCGCUCCUCUCCUCCCCGAUCAGCUCCCCGACCGAGCGACCCGUGCCGGCCAGACUGAUGAGCAUGGAGAGCACCUGCUCGGACAGGGAGGACCGCGGCUCGUCACCCAAGGUUCUCUGCUCCAAAGGUGCAUUUGUUUUCCCCCCAACAAAUGACACAAAUGAAGCAUGAUACAAUGAGAUUGGGGGGGGGGGGGGGGGGGAACAACUGACGAGAUCUCAAGUGGGACAGCGAAGAGCUUUGGCCUCAAUUUGCAGAGUCUCCCACACCCGUGCUGAUGACGUCCAUUAGGUGGGAUGGGUGUAUAUGUGUGUAUGUAUAUAAGCUGCAGCCUGUUGCUUGCGUUUAGGAGACAGGCAACAAACUUGAGAUAAGCUAUAAGUCAUGAUUGUGUAAUGCAAAUGAUGUUAAUGUGUGAAUUAAAGCGCUGGUGCCGUGAUGUUUGUGCAGCUUGAUAACGACGCUCCGUUGCGAAAACAGGUGUUGACUCAUCUCGGCUCCACUUCCUUUAGUGACAAGUGCUGAAGAGAGUUAGUGGCUGUUGUGGUACUUUGACAAACCGUUAACUGUAAUGCCUGAGAGUGUCUGUUACAUCUACUGACCCCCUCCCCCUUUCAGCCAGAUGUACGCAGACACCAGUUGUCUUUAUUCACCCACUUUGGAUCCCCUGGCUGCCGUGAUCUUGUAAUGCCAUCUGCUAGUUAGUUACUGAAAGUACUCUGAAUAAGAAAGAAAGAAGGAAGCGGCCUCCCCCCGCUAAUAAAUAAGAAUUCCGAUUUCUACUUUCACACUUUAUUCUCACACUUGCGACAUUACACGUUCAUCAUUGCGGGCUCACAAGGGGAGGAAGGGGGUUACUAUGAUAGAAGAAGUCAUGCUGUCAAACAUUUUUUUAAACCACACCCUCCCCCAACCUCACAGGAAGCCCCUGUGUCUGCCGGAGCCCUCAGUACAGCAGAGACAGAGACGGAGAAAAUCCGAAAGACAUACAAAUAGAAGGCUGUGAGGAAUUAACAAAGACUAUUACUUCUGAUAAGAGAAUAGAAACUGGAUAGGAAGCGAGAGUGCGGGACAAGGCAAGUGAGGCGUGUUAGCGGAGGACGAUGGGGAGGAUGGGGGUGGCACGUGUCGUCGACUGAUGCUUCACCCUCCGGUAUUCUGACGCAGCAUCAAUCUCGGAGAAAGAGGAUACAACGCUGUACGGACUGAACAAUGGUUUGUAGCGUCGAAGGUUCAUCAGCACCGGGCGGGCACUUCGACUUCACUCACUGAGCUGCUCGCCGCAAUGGACAGACCGGACGCUCAGACACACCCGUCGGGCAAACCUUGAGCGGCUUUUGCCGAUACCAGCAUCCUCCUGUCGGGUUCACGGGGCGGCUCGUCUGUACACAAACAAACCGC